rnacentral:tRNA from 1 species
UCCCUGGUGGCUCAGAUGGUCAAGAAUCUGCCUGUAACGCAGGAGACCUGGGUUCAAUCCCUGGAUGGGGAA